rnacentral:rRNA from 1 species
UUUCCUACGGGGGGCAGCAGUGAGGAAUAUUGGUCAAUGGGCGCGAGCCUGAACCAGCCAAGUCGCGUGAGGGAUGACGGCCCUACGGGUUGUAAACCUCUUUUGUCGGGGAGCAAAUUCCGCCACGUGUGGCGGAGUCGAGAGUACCCGAAGAAAAAGCAUCGGCUAACUCCGUGCCAGCAGCCGCGGUAAUACGGAGGAUGCGAGCGUUAUCCGGAUUUAUUGGGUUUAAAGGGUGCGUAGGCGGAAUGCCAAGUCAGCGGUAAAAUCGCGGGGCUCAACCUCGCUCCGCCGUUGAAACUGGC